GACGAACGCUGGCGGCGUGCCUAAUACAUGCAAGUCGAGCGAGUCUGCCUUGAAGAUCGGAGUGCUUGCACUCUGUGAAACAAGAUACAGGCUAGCGGCGGACGGGUGAGUAACACGUGGGUAACCUGCCCAAGAGAUCGGGAUAACACCUGGAAACAGAUGCUAAUACCGGAUAACAACAGAUGAUGCCUAUCAACUGUUUAAAAGAUGGUUCUGCUAUCACUCUUGGAUGGACCUGCGGUGCAUUAGCUAGUUGGUAGGGUAACGGCCUACCAAGGCGAUGAUGCAUAGCCGAGUUGAGAGACUGAUCGGCCACAUUGGGACUGAGACACGGCCCAAACUCCUACGGGAGGCAGCAGUAGGGAAUCUUCCACAAUGGACGCAAGUCUGAUGGAGCAACGCCGCGUGAGUGAAGAAGGGUUUCGGCUCGUAAAGCUCUGUUGAUGGUGAAGAAGGACAGGGGUAGUAACUGACCUUUGUUUGACGGUAAUCAAUUAGAAAGUCACGGCUAACUACGUG
rnacentral:rRNA from 1 species